CUGCUUAGCCCUAGCACUGCAGGCAGUGGGGUUUGACACUGCCUGGACGUUUGGGUAGGUGUUGGCCAUGAGGGGGAACCUGAGGAGAAUGGUAUCUACCAGAUCCAUGUAGCACAGACAAACUGACCACCAGGAUGAGUUGGGAGAAGCCAUAACAUAGUCUGGUUUCCUGUGCUUGUUUGCUACUUGUCUCCAUACAGCUUGGACUCCAGUCAGUGUGUGCACAACCCUUACCACUUCAGGGAUCUGGUCUUGGUUGGGACCAGGAAAACUAGUGACAGAGGAUCCGACCCCUCUGCUCUCCUCCGCUCUGGGGAGGCCGCCCCGGGGUGCUCCCGGGGCCAGAGAGGCCUGGAGCUGGUGGAGAGAGCCCAGCAGGGCCCCGAGGUCUGGAGGGCCUGGAGCACUUCUGCCGUGAAGAGAGGCUGCAAGAGCUGGGCCUGGCUCCGGGGGAGGCUCUCGCCAGGGGUGCCCAGGGCCAGGAGCAGAGGCCCCGGACCCAGCCUGGAGCCCGGGAGGUGCCCUCUGGGCCCCAGGCAGCACUGCUGUGCCGGGCGGGUGCCGGAGCCCUGGCACAGGCUGCCCAGAGAGGGGCUGGGGGCUCCUCCGCGGGGGCUCCAGCAGCCGCCGGGACGUGGGGCUGGGCGAGCGGCUCCACGGGGCCCUGCUGGGGCAAGGGGUGAGUGGCAGCACCCAGGGGUUCCCCCAGCCUCAGCCACGCUGUGGUUCUGCACACUGUUUCUGCACACUCUGGUCAAUCUUACUCUCAGUGACAGGCACCACGGAGGCUCAGCACUUCCAGAGCCAGCCAGUCUGCAGCCCCUGCUGCCAGUCCAGUCCCCAGGGCAGCCUGAAGAAGCACAGGGAAGGUCCACGCAGCCACUGCAGGGCACCGUGCAAGCAGAUACGAGCUCUGCACACUGCCACAGGUGCCAUGCCAGCAUGCACACAGGACAGGCAGCGCAGGACACGUGUGCUGCAUGGAGGGGCUGUAGCUGUAGCUGCAGCUCAGUGUGGACACAGCACAACAACCUUACAGCUGGUAUUUGGC
rnacentral:lncRNA from 1 species